UAGGGAAUCUUCCACAAUGGACGAAAGUCUGAUGGAGCAACGCCGCGUGAGUGAAGAAGGGUUUCGGCUCGUAAAACUCUGUUGUUAAAGAAGAACAUAUCUGAGAGUAACUGUUCAGGUAUUGACGGUAUUUAACCAGAAAGCCACGGCUAACUACGUGUCCAG
rnacentral:rRNA from 1 species